UUAUGGAGAGUUUGAUCCUGGCUCAGGAUGAACGCUGGCGGCGUGCAUAAUACAUGCAAGUCGAGCGAACCACUUCGGUGGGAAGCGGCGAACGGGUGAGUAACACGUAGGUGAUCUGCCCAUC
rnacentral:rRNA from 1 species